UGUUGUUUCAACUUGUCAGAAUGUUGAUACAAUGGAAUAGAUUAUAAAAUAGUUGCUCAUGAUUCUUAAGUUGUUAGGGGACAUAACCCUUCAAGUGGAGCAUGUCAUGGUAGUAUAUUGUAAGGAAUGAGUCGAGUUGUUUUUCUACAGUCAGAUAAAAUGAAUAUGCAUCUUCUGGGAUUCGGCAAUGAUUUCUACAAGUGUUUAAUAGAUUUUUAAAAAAAACACUUUUUUAAUCAACCAAAUUCUAAAAAAUAAAAAAAUAUAUAUGCUAGAAAUUCUAUGCAGGGUGUUGUAGAUGAACUGUUCUGUUGCUGUUAGCUUCCCUGACUAAGCUGCGGAAGCUUCAUCAUGAUUGGUUUUGAAAAGUGGUUGAUCAAAUUGUUUCAUGUUUUGUCAUUAGGUAACAAAUUAUGCAAAACCAAUGGAAUUGUUUGUUUUUUCUGUCUCUUCUUCAUGUGAUUGUGUUGACCUCAGACAUGACAAUGUUUCUCUUGUAUAGUUUAACCUUGACAUUGGCCUAUCAAGUUUUGUAUCCCUUUCUCUUUUUUGGUUCCUGUUUCCCUGACAAAAUAUUUACCCAACUAAAACUAGACCAAUACACUCUUGUGCAUGAUCUUUUUGCACACUCAAUCAGUUUUUGUUUUGAAAUUGUGACCUCUGACCUGUAGCUACAGCAAGAAGAAUGUUCACCCCACACAUGAACUGUACAGACAUAUGUAAGUACACACACACAUAUGCAUAGUCCCUCUCACCCACUUUCCCUACCUUCUAGUUCUUAUCACACUUCUUAGCUCCCCUGAAAAAUAUUCUUGUUAUCUGAACCAGCAGGUUUUACUUGAUUUUGUUGACUAUUUU